rnacentral:rRNA from 1 species
UACGAAGGGGGCUAGCGUUGCUCGGAAUCACUGGGCGUAAAGCGCACGUAGGCGGAUUGCUAAGUCAGGGGUGAAAUCCUGGAGCUCAACUCCAGAACUGCCCUUGAUACUGGCGGUCUCGAGUCCGGGAGAGGUGAGUGGAACUGCGAGUGUAGAGGUGAAAUUCGUAGAUAUUCGCAAGAACACCAGUGGCGAAGGCGGCUCACUG